rnacentral:rRNA from 1 species
AAUGGCCGGAAGGCUGAUCCAGCCAUGCCGCGUGCAGGAUGACGGCCUACGGGUUGUAAACUGCUUUUAUACGGGAAGAAAUGGGGCACGCGUGCCCCUUUGACGGUACCGUAAGAAUAAGGACCGGCUAACUCCGUGCCAGCAGCCGCGGUAAUACGGAGGGUCCGAGCGUUAUCCGGAAUCAUUGGGUUUAAAGGGUCCGUAGGCGGGCCCGUAAGUCAGGGGUGAAAGGCCACGGCUCAACCGUGGGACCGCCUUUGAUACUGCGGGUCUUGAGUUAUGGUGGGGCCGCCGGAACAUGUGGUGUGGCGGUGAAAUGCAUAGAUAUCACAUAGAACACCGAUCGCGAAGGCAGGUGGCCAACCAUUAACUGACGCUGAUGGACGAAAGCGUGGGUAGCGAACGGGAUU